UGAGAAAUGGCGGCCUGUCCCGGUCUCCUAUGUGUCAUUGUGGAAAUUGAAUUCACAUUGCGCAGCCUAUUUCUGCUCUCUGGAGAAACGCUCCACCUUUUUACUGAAAUGUUUUACAGUUAAUUGGAAAAGCUGCAUCUUGACCUAUUUUCGAGGAUGAUGAAAGCUUACCGGUUCCACGAAGAUCACAGGAGACACAGUUUAAAAAGGCAAUAACUCUGCCAGCAAAACAGAAUGAGGGUGACCUUGAAGAAAAACAAUGACCUUGAAAAUCAAGCUCUUAGAACAUAAGAUGCAAGAGUUAACUUGGAUGGCACCACGUUGGCAAAGAGUUUUGAAUGUAGAAAAGACAGUUAAUGUCUCCAGUAAUGUGUAGUGGGCUACACCUGAUCCAAUCAGGGGAUUGGUGGUUAUGACAACAUGAACUGUAAGAUUGAAUUUAAAAAAAUGACUAAUCUUUCUGAACUGUUACUGUAAAUAAUGAGUUUCAUACUUGUAAACUCUAGUCUGGUAGGAGGAUUCAUCAUCUACUAGUUAACCGCUGCUCGAAAUUGAUAAAAAAAAAAAAAAAAGGGUGUGUCCCUCACUCAAUGCUUUUUCUAUGCGAACAAAUCACAUCUUUGACGCGUUAUUCCUCAACAACCUGACCACUUAUCAAAACUCUGCGACUUUAUUUCACAUCUACAUCACACACCCUAUCCAAUGCCACCUGAACCAUAAAAAUCUGUUUUGUCAUUUCGGAGUAGUUGCUCUCACAAAACAAUCGCUUAGCCGAUUAAAUAUAUAGAUAUUGUG